AACGAACGCUGGCGGCAUGCCUAACACAUGCAAGUCGAACGAGAUCUUCGGGUCUAGUGGCGCACGGGUGCGUAACGCGUGGGAAUCUGCCCUUUGGUUCGGAAUAACAGUUGGAAACGACUGCUAAUACCGGAUGAUGACGAAAGUCCAAAGAUUUAUCGCCAGAGGAUGAGCCCGCGUAGGAUUAGCUAGUUGGUGUGGUAAAGGCGCACCAAGGCGACGAUCCUUAGCUGGUCUGAGAGGAUGAUCAGCCACACUGGGACUGAGACACGGCCCAGACUCCUACGGGAGGCAGCAGUGGGGAAUAUUGGACAAUGGGCGAAAGCCUGAUCCAGCAAUGCCGCGUGAGUGAUGAAGGCCUUAGGGUUGUAAAGCUCUUUUACCCGGGAUGGUAAUGACAGUACCGGGAGAAUAAGCUCCGGCUAACUCCGUGCCAGCAGCCGCGGUAAUACGGAGGGAGCUAGCGUUGUUCGGAAUUACUGGGCGUAAAGCGCACGUAGGCGACUUUGUAAGUUAGAGGUGAAAGCCUGGAGCUCAACUCCAGAACUGCCUUUAAGACUGCAUCGCUUGAAUCCAGGAGAGGUGAGUGGAAUUCCGAGUGUAGAGGUGAAAUUCGUAGAUAUUCGGAAGAA
rnacentral:rRNA from 1 species